CUACGGAGGAUGCAAGCGUUAUCCGGAUUUAUUGGGUUUAAAGGGUGCGUAGGCGGUUUGCUAAGCGGGAGGUGAAAUGCCGGCGCUCAACGUCGGAAGUGCCUCCCGAACUGGUGGACUUGAAUGACUCUGCCGUGGGAGGAAUGUGUAGUGUAGCGGUGAAAUGCUUAGAGAUUACACAGAACACCGAUUGCGAAGGCAUCUCACGAAGGGUUGAUUGACGCUGAGGCACGAAAGCGUGGGGAUCAAACAGGAUUAGAUACCCUGGUAGUCCACGCAGUAAACGAUGAUGGCUAACCGCUGGAUCCAUCGGUUCAGUGGCCAAGCGAAAGCGAUAAGCCAUCCACCUGGGGAGUACGACCGCAAGGUUGAAACUCAAAGGAAUUGACGGGG
rnacentral:rRNA from 1 species